UACUUAUCCAGAGCGGUGGAGGGACCUGGCCCUUUGAAACCCGGCAACCUGCUUGAAAGCAAGGUGCUAAAUCCAGCAAAAUGGAAUCCAUUUUGGGAGAUAAGGG
rnacentral:ncRNA from 2 species